rnacentral:rRNA from 1 species
UACGAAGGGGGCUAGCGUUGCUCGGAAUCACUGGGCGUAAAGCGCACGUAGGCGGACUCUUAAGUCAGGGGUGAAAUCCUGGAGCUCAACUCCAGAACUGCCUUUGAUACUGAGAGCCUUGAGUCCGGAAGAGGUAAGUGGAACUGCGAGUGUAGAGGUGAAAUUCGUAGAUAUUCGGAAGAACACCAGUGGCGAAGGCGGCUGACUGGACAUGUAUUGACGCUGAGGUGCGAAAAGCGUGGGGAGCAAACAGG